rnacentral:misc_RNA from 1 species
AAGUCGUAACAAGGUUUCCGUAGGUGAACCUGCGGAAGGAUCAUUAACACGUAUCCAAACGUUAAACCCCCCCCGUGAACCUUCAUCGUGCUCUAGUGGGCCACUGAUAAACACAGCAAUUCCUGGUAAAUCAUUGUCUGAACAAGCCUUUGAGUCAGGAACCUCUGUGCAGUGCGAGCUACACCCACUAUAGAAGCGCUAGUUCCAUCGGCAUUGUUUCCCCAAGCAGCCAGUGCGUGAAAGUGGCAACUGACUGUGCAAGGAUAACGCUUAACGAUUUUGCAGCCGCAACACGCGGGCAGAGCUUUGCCAAAGGGUCCCCAUGCCCCCUAAUAACCCCACAGUUUAAUGUGAAGCUCAAUGUAGUACAUUGGGUAAAAAGACCGAACAACUGUUAACAAUGGAUAUCUUGGUUCUC